GCGCACGCUGGGAGUUGUAGUCCCGGCGGCUUCCCGGCGUGCCCCGCGCCCGGCCCCGCUCGCCCUUGGCGUCGCCCCGGCCCCGCUCCCCGCGCCGCCAUGUUCUCCGCCCGCCGCCUCCUGGGCCUCGGGCCCCGCGGCCUGCCCCUGCUGCGGCCCCGCGCCCGCGCCUACGCCGAGCCCGCCGCCGCCGGCCCCGCGCAGAUGGCCUUCACCUUCGCCUCGCCCACGCAGGUGUUUUACAACGGAGCCAACGUGAAGCAGGUAGACGUGCCCACGCUCACCGGCUCCUUCGGUAUCCUGGCCUCUCACGUCCCCACCCUGCAGGUCCUCAAGCCUGGAGUCGUGACGGUCUAUGCUGAGGAUGGCACGGCCACCAAAUACUUUGUGAGCAGUGGCUCUGUCACGGUCCACGCGGACUCCACCGUGCAGGUGCUGGCAGAGGAGGCGGUGACGAUGGACAUGCUGGAUCUGGCUACUGCAAAAUCAAAUCUGGAGAAGGCUGUUUCGGAGAUGGCUGCAGCAUCUGAUGAAGCAGCUAAAGCAGAAGCCCAGAUUAAAGUAGAAGCCAAUGAAGCUCUCGUAAAAGCCCUGGAGUAAUUAGGUUGGGAGACUCGCUCAGCGGCCGUCAGCGUGUGCUGUGCCUGGCAGGAAUCCCGCUGUCGAUGUAAAGAAACCCCAGACUGUCCUACUUGUCCUGGCUUCCCCCGUUUGUACAGAUGGUGCGGGACAAAUGGAGGUGGAGAAAAUGCUCUGAUCAAUUAAAAGGAAAUGCAGUCCUG